AGCUGGAAGACAAAAAUUGAGAUCAUCCCAGCUAUGUCCUGCUGGAAGACUGAGAAGAUAAUUUUUAAUCACAUGUCACACUCUAAGAAUAAUGGAAAACUGGGCAAAUCAAAGGGUUAGGUAUUAUUUUCUGAGAGCCAGUGGGGGGUUUGUGGGGAGGGCUGGAGUAGAGGGUGGAGAAAUAAAUUACUUCCUUACUGGAGAUUGAAGCGUGAUGCUUCAGACUAAGGAAAAAUUCAAAUCAUUUUCUGAAUUGGUAAGUUCACGAAAAAACUCAAAUAACAACAAGAAAACGAAUGUAGUCACACUUUUAAAGAGAGGAGUUUCUCCAAACUUAUUCCAACCUCCAUAGCCAGAAAGCUACAGUGUAACGCUGUUAAGAACAUUAGUGUUGCAGUGUUUUCUAAUUUUCUCCCAGCAACCAGAACACUAAAUGUUCUUCCCAGAUAUAGAAAUAGUGUUGCCAUACCUGCGAUGACCCAGAAACCGGCUCAAAGGACGAGUGCCCCGCAGAGAGGCCGCCCCCAGACCCGAGAAGGGCCGGGAACGGAUGCCGCGCAACCAGAAAAGACCCGCCCCCGGCCCUCGGCGGCCGCCCGCGCCCCAGGCCCGCUCGGCGGACUACAGGGGCGCGGUGGCGGGGCGGGGAGAUGGCGCAGGGGAAGGAAGCGGCCUCCACCCAGGUCGGGCCCCGCGCCGCGCUCACCAUCCGGCUCAGGGACUCGGAGACCCGCCGCCUGCCGCCGCCCCGGGGCCCCUCGGCGCCCGGCUGGAGGCGCAGACACGGAUCGCAGCCGCCGGAGCCAGGCCUUCGCUGCGCGCUGCGGAAAGAAAACGCAACGGACCAACUUCCGGCCCUUCCGCGCGGCUCGGCCCCACACUGACUCCGCCACACUCUGGUUCCGCCCUCCAGCCGGAAGGCCUGAGGGCUUCCGGCGCACGGGAUGUCAACGGGGCCCCCUUGGCUUCGAACCUGGCUCCUUUUUAAACAUUUUUAAAGGACAUGUUGUUCUGAAAAUGAGUUUGGUGCUUAGAAAUCUGCAACGAGCUGUCCCCAUCAGGAGAGCGCCUCUUCGCAGGAAGUUGGAGAUUGUGAGGAGUAUAUUAGGGGUGCAGAAAUUUGACCUGGCGAUCAUCUGUGUUGACAACAAGAGUAUUCAGCACAUUAAUAAAAUCUACAGAGAGAAAAAUCUGCCAACAGAUGUGCUUUCCUUUCCAUUUCAUGAGAAUGUAAAAGCAGGUGAACUUCCCCAGCCUGAUUUUCCAGAUGACUACAAUUUGGGUGACAUUUUCCUAGGAGUGGAGUAUAUCUUCCAGCAAUGCAAAGGGAAUGAGGAUUACUAUGACGUCCUUACCGGGAUCCUGGAGCUUCUGUGUGACUUGAAGCAGAGCUUCCCAGCAAGAGCCAUUGUGACAGGUGACUGCCACCCAUGGGCUCUGUCACCUGCUGGGCUUCACACACAGCACGGAGGCUGAAUGGCAGAAGAUGUACCAGAAGGAAAAGCAGGUUCUCGAGGAGCUGAGCCGGCGCACCGGGACCAGUCUCCAGCCCCUAAGCAGGGGCCUCUUCUGACUGCUGGAGGCCCAAGAUGUCUUCGACUUCUCAGCACCCCACACCAAGGGGCAGGAGGGCACGGCCAUGAGAAGAAAAUGGUUUCUUCACUCAUACGUCUUCUGACAUGAAGUGCUAGGAGUCUGUGCAGACCCCACAGGUUAAGGGUUCAGUCCCACAGCACUGCCCCCACUUUGGAGCAGGGUAUAGACGCCUCUGUCCGCCUCUACCACAGAUCAGGGGACUGCGGGGGUUUGGGGCUCUGGACAGAAGUGGGGGUGAAGACCAAACCUGUAGCUCUUACAGCACACAGUCAAGUUCUGCACAGCCAGCCUCCACCCCGUGCUCGAGGCACUUGGAGCUCAGACCCCCCUCCCAGGCAGGUUUGUAGCGGUGUCAGAAGUUGUGACUGCUUCCGUGUUCACGGCUCUCUUCCAGGGCCUGCUCUGACCUCUUUAGCAUCCCCAGGUCGGCCUGCGCAGAACCAAGGGGACCCCCCCCCUCCCGUGAGGGCUGCCUUCACCCCUGUGCCCCACAUCAACUGUGAUCCCACUUGAUGCCCAGUGGUGCCUUGCUCUGUCCUGUCACAGCACAGGACGCUCCUCGAUGCAGGAAGAUGUUUCCUUUAUCCCUGUGGACCGAAGGCUCCUGAAACCCUUGUAAUUUCUUGGGUGAUAGGCAUGUCUUUUGUUCUGAGGCAACUCUUAGGGGCUCCUGGGGGGGCCCCGGGCCCCCAGAAACACCUGCCAUGAUUGGAAGCUUAUUAACUGUUAGCCCCUUCCUCCCAUCCCAUUCUCCAGAGAGGGAGAAGGGCAGGAAAUACUUAGUCUAUCUCGCAGGCAUGCCUACGAGAGGAAACCCCCAUAAAUCCCAGUAGCGCAGGGUCCCAAGAGCCUCCAAGUGAGUAAACACAUCCACACUGAAAGGGUGACACACCCCAACUCCACGUGGUGGAGGCUCCUGUGCAGGGGACCCUCCCAGACCUGCCCCACCCCUUAUCACAUCCUUCAACUGCCAAAUGUGUUUCCUGAGUUCUGUGAACAGCUCUAACGAAGUAAUCGAACCUGAGGAGGGGGUCAUGGAACCUCUGCUCCCUGACCCGGCAAGUCAGGAGCAGGGACAACUGCACUUGCAGCUGGCGAGGGAGGUGGGGGGCAGUCUCGUGGGACUUCAUCCUCAUGCAGGUGGACAGUGUCAGAACCGAGUUGGAUGGCAGGACAUCCUGGUGAUGCCGGAGAGGACUGGUAACUAGAAGUGACAGAAGUGCCUGUUCUAUGUGUGAGUAAAGGACAUUCACGAGGAAGGACUGGGUUUUCCUCACUCAAGACACCGACAAAACUGAGUUUUUCCAAUUUAUCAGGCCAUCCAAAGACAUCCAACUUCUGUCUAAACUUCCUCCCUGUAUUUAAUUAAUAAUUGUUUUGAGAAUUGUUGAGAAUUCUCAAUUGUGUUGAGAAAAGCCAUGUUAGAAAACAUCAAUGUUGGGACGCCUGGGUGGCUCAGUCAGUUAAGCGGCCAACUUCAGCUCAGGUCAUGAUCUCACGGUUCGUGUGUUCAAGCCCCAUGUCAGGCUCUGUGCUGACAGCUCGGAGCCUGAGCCUGCUUUGGUUUCUGUGU